GACGAACGCUGGCGGCGUGCCUAAUACAUGCAAGUUGAGCGCUGAAGGUUGGUACUUGUACCAACUGGAUGAGCAGCGAACGGGUGAGUAACGCGUGGGGAAUCUGCCUUUGAGCGGGGGACAACAUUUGGAAACGAAUGCUAAUACCGCAUAAAAACUUUAAACACAAGUUUUAAGUUUGAAAGAUGCAAUUGCAUCACUCAAAGAUGAUCCCGCGUUGUAUUAGCUAGUUGGUGAGGUAAAGGCUCACCAAGGCGAUGAUACAUAGCCGACCUGAGAGGGUGAUCGGCCACAUUGGGACUGAGACACGGCCCAACCUCCUACGGGAGGCAGCAGUAGGGAAUCUUCGGCAAUGGACGAAAGUCUGACCGAGCAACGCCGCGUGAGUGAAGAAGGUUGUCGGAUCGUAAAACUCUGUUGGUAGAGAAGAACGUUGGUGAGAGUGGAAAGCUCAUCAAGUGACGGUAACUACCCAGAAAGGGACGGCUAACUACGUG
rnacentral:rRNA from 1 species